CCUACUGGAGGCAGCAGUGAGGAAUAUUGGUCAAUGGGCGCGAGCCUGAACCAGCCAAGUAGCGUGAAGGAUGACUGCCCUACGGGUUGUACACUUCUUUUAUCCAGGAAUAAAGUGAGUCACGUGUGCCUUUUUGUAUGUACUUUAUGAAUAAGGAUCGGCUAACUCCGUGCCAGCAGCCGCGGUAAUACGGAGGAUCCGAGCGUUAUCCGGAUUUAUUGGGUUUAAAGGGAGCGUAGAUGGGUUGUUAAGUCAGUUGUGAAAGUUUGGGGCUCAACCGUAAAAUUGCAAUUGAUACUGGCAGUCUUGAGUACAGGUGAGGUAGGCGGAAUUCGUGGUGUAGCGGUGAAAUGCUUAGAGAUCACGAAGAACUCCGAUUGCGAAGGCAGCUUACUAAACUGCCACUGACAUUGAUGCUCGAAAGUGUGGGUAUCAAACAGGAUUAGAGACCACAGUAGUC
rnacentral:rRNA from 1 species